UACGAAGGGGGCUAGCGUUGCUCGGAAUGACUGGGCGUAAAGGGCGCGUAGGCGGCUUGCACCGUCAGAUGUGAAAUUCCCGGGCUUAACCUGGGGGCUGCAUUUGAUACGUGUUGUCUAGAGUGAGGAAGAGGGUUGUGGAAUUCCCAGUGUAGAGGUGAAAUUCGUAGAUAUUGGGAAGAACACCGGUGGCGAAGGCGGCAACCUGGUCCUUGACUGACGCUGAGGCGCGAAAGCGUGGGGAGCAAACAGG
rnacentral:rRNA from 1 species